rnacentral:rRNA from 1 species
UGCGUAGGUGGUUUUUUAAGUUAUCUGUGAAAUUCCCGGGCUCAACCUGGGAAGGCCAGAUAAGACUGGAAGACUUGAGUAUAGGAGAGGGCAGUGGAAUUUCCGGUGUAGCGGUGAAAUGCGUAGAGAUCGGAAGGAACACCAGUGGCGAAGGCGACUGCCUGGCCUGAUACUGACACUGAGGCACGAAAGCGUGGGUAGCAAACA